AAGAAAAACAGUCCCAGGAUUAGAAAGGUGCAGCAGAAAGACAUCACAGUCAUGAAAGGGCUUUGAACACGACAGUUCCAGGAGCAGAACUGCAACAACGCGACUGGCUGACUUCGCGCGAUGAAGCCGUCCGUACACGAUGGUACCAACUGGACCUGGUGUUCCUGGCACGGAAGGGCAGCUGUGAAAACACCAGAGCGGCUCUGAUACUUUGUUCCGUGGAAGUUGUCUUGAGAGAGUGGAUAUUUCUGACAGCCCCGGGUGGAGCGCAGCCAACACGCCGGUCCAGACUGGUGAGGAAGCCUCAGUUCCUCCUGCUGCUGAGAGAAGCGGGUCACGCUUCCUGUCCUCCACGUCACGAGAAGGUCGACCAGCGUGGAGCCGCCGCUCUCCUCAGCAGGAAGCGUUCGGACCCGAGGAACGGACACGCUCCUGGGACUUGUUUUUCUAAGGCGUGUUUAUGUAAAGGAAGCUGCAUAUUUCACAUUUAUGAAGGUUGGAAAGCUCCGCUGCUGGUUUGACUCCAACUACAAGCAAGUGUUGAACCUUGUAGCAUGUGGAAGCCAUUAUCCCGGCGACGCCUCCAUUUGCUCCUCUAUUUACCUUUGCCAUCCUCCGACCUUCGCUGCUGUUUACCUUCCACCUCCGUCUCUUUUCUCUGAAGGAGGCUGGGAAACAUCAAGUCAUGUGACGGACAGUGUUUUUGGAUGUUUGGAGCAGUGUUGGGUGUUAAGAGGCUUUAGUCCUCCAUCACGGCCUCGCCCUGCUGCGAGCCUGUCUGUUUACGUUGGUCCCUGCUGGCACGUGUUUCUGCCUCAGAAGCCUCCGCCCAGCUUCCCACUCCCCGCUGACAUCAGCGGCGUGUGUGACGGACUGGGUGCAUGUGUUUGGGUGGGCUCCCUGACCCAGCCUGGAAUAGACCUUUAGACAAGGGUUCAGCUCCUAAUGCCCUUGAAAGUCCUCCCAAACGUGGAGUCGCAGAUCAGCGUGUGUUUGGAAACCAGAUCCUCUGACGCCCAGGAUGCUGUAACAACACCGUCAAGCGCACACACACACACACACACACACACACCCUGCAGCUUGCUUUCCAAACAUCACAUCAAACUCCCAGGAAAACGACAACAGAAACCUGAGACCAGACAGUCCAGGCUGACCCUGGAGCCCCUGCUGGUGUCCUCACUACAGUGCUGCAAGGUCCUCUGCAGCAUGUAAACACGAGGAAUAUAUGGAGCCCAGUCAGUGCAGCGACCACCAUUUGUGGAGACCACCUUCAUGAUCCUGAGAGCUGCAACAGGCUGAGCAUCAGUGAAGAGCUGAGUCCUACAGCUCAGGCAAAACGCAGCACUUAAAGAAGCCAAGCUGCGACUAUGGAGUCUGGUGCAAUUGUUACUUUCCAGGAGCAGGUGAUGGACACCUGUGCCUCGCAUCUGAGCAGCAUUCACAACUGAGUUUGGAGUCAAUGGAGUCAGUGAAGCACACAGUGCUGUUCCAGGGGAAGAGAGUAGCAGCCGCUGAUGGUUUCCACAAGCAUCUGCUAAACAUCACCAAUAUAUUCAGGCCCUGGUCAUCCAGCCCGUGCUGAGCAGAGGCGAUGAGAUCGUGGCUCAGUAGGAGCUGGGAGGAACAGGUCUCACAGUCCACCCUGCCUCCCGCUGUCAACGUGUGGACUCAAAGAAAACGCAUCAGACGCGGGGCUCGCGUUUCUAUGGCCCUUCUGAGGUCACAGACCUCUUUCAUCGCAAUUUAUAAACUUUUAUCUAAACGUUCAGUUCUUGUCAUGAGUCAUGCAGCUUUGUCUGGUUUAAAAUGAAAUUCAGAAUUUGUUUGAAAUGCUGUGUCACAUUCGAAUGGUUACAAAUA